GAGACCCAGAGUUGGCAGGCAGCUGGGUGCCCUGUGUGAAUUCAAGCACGCCCCCAGCCCAAACAUGGCAGGAGUCAACCAAAAUCCAAGUUAAUACCAGGCUACCAUCUCUGCUCAUCAGGACCUUGGCAAGGUCUCCAGAUGGUCCAUCCACUCCCGGCCUGCCUUCCUCCCAUCUGAGGUCCACUCUGCAGGGCGUUGUCAGUCAGCCAACCCCAGGAGCCAGUCUCGUCCAUCGGUGUAUUCUCUGGCCUCAGCCGGGACCUGGCAUUUGAAACUUGGUGAUCAAACGUUGGGUGGUGCAAGGGUUGCCAUCAUACGAUUGGAAGUCAUUAAAACCGGUGUCCAGAGUCUCCACCCCACGGUGAUGUCCAGACCGAAACAGACCCAUUGGGAUCCCUUCUUGAACCUCGGGAGGCAGCCCUCCAUGGAGCCUGGUCUGGGAGGUAGGAGGGGGCAGCCCACUGUCACAUUUCCUGCCAUCCUCAGGGUCCGCCCCUCGCUGGCAGGCCGGUCACCUGCAUCGGCAUCGCGUACGAACCAAGAAGCUUGGCACUGGAGCCAGAUGAGGCUACAGGUGGCAUCGGGGGAGUGGGAUUCUCCCCCUGCAUUUGCACGAUGUCUUAUCGCAAAGCAACCGUGUCUCCUCUUUGAAAUACAGUGGGAACGCGUUAAAAUAGAGACUCAACCACGACCUGACAAAGGAAAAUACUCGACUCUGGUUGUGCUCCUAGCCCUGACUCUCGCUUUGAGAAGCGAAGGACCACCAUCUAGAACUUUGGGAAACAGUGCUAAGUGCGCAUUUGUUCGCGAAAGA